rnacentral:rRNA from 1 species
ACUUUGCUCCCUUAUUGCUGCUUGGGUACUACGAGCGGGUGCUUAAAACUCAAAGAACUUGGCGGCUUGUUAACUUCCUAGGGGAAUAUGUGCCUUAAUCCGAUAGUCCCCGGCAUAUCUUACUAAGCCUUGAAAGAGUCAGUUGGUGUAUUGCCGUUGUCAGCCUGUUGUUGAGCAAAAAGAAACAGGCUUAAGAGGAGUUUUCAAGGAGUUGAAGAAUGAGCCUUGAAUUCAGGUCGUAAUACUGCCUAUGGCUUUAGGGAGUGGGUGUUACAAUUUUAAUUCUAAAUAACGGAAUUUUCUAUGAAAAGGAGACGAAGGCGAACUUAGAAGUAAGGGGGGAUUAGUAUGCCUCUCUGAACAUGAAUCGUAACUUGUGUACAAACUGCCCCGUCGCUCUCGG